GAUGAACGCUGGCGGCGUGCCUAAUACAUGCAAGUCGAGCGAACAGACGAGGAGCUUGCUCCUCUGACGUUAGCGGCGGACGGGUGAGUAACACGUGGAUAACCUACCUAUAAGACUGGGAUAACUUCGGGAAACCGGAGCUAAUACCGGAUAAUAUAUUGAACCGCAUGGUUCAAUAGUGAAAGACGGUUUUGCUGUCACUUAUAGAUGGAUCCGCGCCGCAUUAGCUAGUUGGUAAGGUAACGGCUUACCAAGGCAACGAUGCGUAGCCGACCUGAGAGGGUGAACGGCCAAACUGGAACUGAGGCACGGUCCAGACUCCUAAGGGAAGGCGCAGUAGGGAAUCUUUCGCAAUGGGCGAAAGCCUGACGGAGCAACGCCGCGUGAGUGAUGAAGGUCUUCGGAUCGUAAAACUCUGUUAUUAGGGAAGAACAAAUGUGUAAGUAACUAUGCACGUCUUGACGGUACCUAAUCAGAAAGCCACGGCUAACUACGUG
rnacentral:rRNA from 1 species